rnacentral:rRNA from 1 species
CCUACGGGAGGCAGCAGUGAGGAAUAUUGGUCAAUGGGCGCGAGCCUGAACCAGCCAAGUAGCGUGAAGGAUGACUGCCCUACGGGUUGUAACUUCUUUUAUAAAGGAAUAAAAUGAGGAACGUGUGCCUUUUUGUAUGUACUUUAUGAAUAAGGAUCAGCUAACUCCGUGCCAUCAGCCGCGGGAAUACGGAGGAUCCGAGCGUUAUCCGGAUUUAUUGGGUUUAAAGGGAUCGGAGAUGUGUUGUGAAGGCAGGUGUGAAAGUUUGCGGCUUAACCGUAAAAUUGCAAUUGAUACUGGCAGUCGUGAGUACAGUUGAGGUAGGCGGAAUUCGUGGUGUAGCGGUGAAAUGCUUAGAUAUCACGAAGAACUCCGAUUGCGAAGGCAGCUUACUAAACUGCCACUGACAUUGAUGCUCGAAAGUGUGGGUAUCAAACAGGAUUAGAUACCCCUGUAGUC